AUGUCUCCUCCGGUGUCAUCCGCUCUCCAAGCUGAAGCGUACGGGCUUCUAUUGGCUACAAUGUUAGCAGAAACUCUUCAUAUCCCGGAACCACACUACUACAUGGAUUGCUCCGUACUCGCAUCGGCAGCAGGGGCGAGUUCCAUCUUUCAAGUCACAAGUCACUGGAACAUAAGGCCCAUUCUUGCUUCUAUACAGGUGUCGCCAUCUUUUGUCCACACCAAAGUAGCACACAUCAACGGGUGUUUCAAUGUCAAAGCACAUCAUCAAGCUAAGUUAGCGAUCAAAAUUAAAAAUAGGCCUCUAGUUUUUCGUUGUCUCUCUUCAGAUGCAGGAGCUUGUAUUGCGAGAGAUGUCCUUGCCAUGUCUAGUGUGAGA
rnacentral:rRNA from 1 species